GAUUUGGCGCGCUGCCCUGGGGAGGGGGAGUCGGAGGCGCUACAAGCUUUGGAGUUCUGGGAAGCGGUCCGAGAGUGGGAGUCCCCGGGCACCCUGUCCUCUAACUGCGUCUACCUCAUCCCAGCGCUCCCUAGAGCCGGUAGAGCCAAGGGUGGGAAUGGGGUAAGGGGCAAGGAGAGCUGCGCUCUAGUGCCUCUUUAAAACUCUAUGUCACACCCCAGGAUUUCAGAUCCCCUCAGUGGGGUCCCGAGCCGCUGUCUAGGCGGAGGCCUGAUUUCCUUGGGGAAACCCAGACAGUGCCUCCCUAGCCUAGGGUGGGGGCAGGGGUGGCCGGUCCGCCGGGAAGGUGCGGGAAAGGCUGAGCUUUGAUUUGGAGACUUUGUAAGAACCGGUCUGGGAUUGGGGCCUGCGUCCUCAGGAGGCGGAGUGAAGGAGUGGCCACAUGGACCCGCCCCCACCUCGCUCCAGGGCUCAGAGUAAACAGGGACACCCGCGGGGACACGCUGCAGCUUGUCGGCCCGCCUUGGGCUCAGGGAUGGAGCCCACCUUAGUACCCGCCCAGCCCUGCUCGCCUGGCACGGGGCGCAGGAGAGGCAGGCUCUGGUUUGGAGAGAGGUGACUCA
rnacentral:lncRNA from 1 species